AACAUGUGUGGUGAUGGGUUUGUUUUGGAUUGUGUCAAACAGUGAUGGUGAGAUGGUGCGAGAACUUGCGGCGAGAAGACAAUUGUGGGAGGUGAGAGGUUGAGUUUUUUUUUUUUGUAUACAAAAUAAAAAUAAAAUAAAUGGAUAGAAAUUAAAACCGGUAACCAAGCAAAAGAAUAAAAUAAGUGGCUUAUGUGGCUUUGCAUGAGUGGGUGUGUCUAAAAGUGUGUGUUAAAGAGUGUGACUAUAGCAUUACUCUUGGUGGUUUCAUGGUGGUCAGAAGCAUUAAUUCAAGACAUGCACAAGUUUCUUUUUGUGUUCUUGGAUUUUACUCAAAAUCUUCUAGUGAGAGAAAGAGGUAAUAUGUUAGAGAGAAUUUGUGGUGAGGGAAAGUGGAAAGGUUCAGCGCUG
rnacentral:lncRNA from 1 species